UCUUCCUAUCUUGCAUCUCUUCUCCCAGACCGAAAGGGGAAGGCAAAGGAGAGGGAGCAGAACUAAAGGGGAUGGAGGGGGCAGGAAAAGCUCAUCCGGAUUGCAUCAACGCCUCUAAUCCCUACCACGAGUGUGUCGAGUACUGCUUCAAGCGAAUAGCCGAAGCCAAAUCUCACGCCGAUGAGGAGGAGAAUGAGGAUAGCUCGAAGGAGCCGGAAGAGAGAACUGUUCAUCCGGAUUGCGUUAACGCGUCCAAUCCCUACCAUGAGUGCAGCGAGUACUGCUUUAAAAGGAUUUCUGAGGCGAAGGAUCAAAUUGAGAGGAAUGAAUCAGACAUACAAGAGGAUGACAUUACUUCAUCCUUCAAUGGUGCUAACCAGAAUGAUAGUGGUGAUGCUCAUCAUGUCCAGAAUGAUCCUGAAUCUGGAAAUCCUAAUCUCACUGAGAAGCAGAAAAAACUGUUUGAGUUGAGGCUUAAGAUGAAUGAAGCAAGGAAGGCCAAUCAGAUGGCAAUGGUAGCUGAGAAAAAGAAAAUGGAAGCUCCAUCAGAGGCAAGGGGCAUUUCGAAGCAAAAAUGGCUCGAGGAAAGGAAGAAAAAGAUUGGAAAGCUGCUUGAUUCAAAUGGCUUGGAUAUGUCUAAGGCCUACAUGCUUGAUACACAAGAGAUGGCUGAAGCUAAGUAUAAGAAGUGGGAAAAGGAUCCUUCACCAUAUGGUUGGGAUGUUUUUAACCAGAAAACACUCUACAAUGCUCACAAAAAGCGGGUUAAGAACAUUGAGUGUGAUAUGGAGGCAUACAACGAAGCAAAGGAAGCUGAUCCAGAGUUCUAUCGUGAGGCUUCUAGUCUUCAGUAUGGCAAGGCAACCAAAAUCCCUGAGGAAAACAUUGACCGAAUGGUAAAGGAACUUCAGGACAGGGAAGCAAAGCGCAAGUCAUUUAGCAGGAGGCGGAAGUUCCACGAAGAGAAGGACAUUGAUUCAAUCAAUGAUAGAAACGAGCACUUCAAUAAGAAGAUCGAGAGAGCCUUUGGAAAAUACACUCUGGAGAUCAAGAACAACUUGGAAAGAGGAACUGCUUUGCCUGAUUAGUCUAGCUCUUUCAUGACCUUGUAACAUAUGCUUUGAUCUUACAACAACACGAUUGGUGCAACUUGCAAAUCGUAAUCAGCCUGUGGCUUGUUACGCCUCGAAGCGUUUGAAGGAGAUGCCUUCCAGUGAAUCUAGGUGAGUCACCUAUCUUUCUGUAGAUUGAGAAUGCAUCUAUAGCCUUCCACCUGAAUAUGCUACUUGAAUCUGAAUAUUUGCGUUCAUCGCUCUCUCCUUUUGAUAUUUGCUCCAGAAAUGACUUCCUCUGCAGGUGGGUAUCUGCAUGAAACUGCAGCAAUGGUACUGGGAAGAACUUGGUCCUCACACCACCACCUCUUGCACAAGUGCGUCUUCCUGUGCUCUGGUUGAAAUGGCACAUUACAGAGCUGAUAUUUUGAAGCUCGCUCAAGAGGUUAAAUGGUGGAGUUUAGUCAAUAUAAACAACAAGAUUUCCGCUAAUUUUGGUCGUUGUUGGGGAGCUGAAUUGAACAGUUUUUUGUCAGAUAACUCUCUAAUUAUCUUCAGCUACUUUUGAUUACUGAAGAUUCUUCUUUCCAAAAAACAUGUAUAUUAUACAGAACUGUUUAU